rnacentral:rRNA from 1 species
GACGAACGCUGGCGGCGUGCUUAACACAUGCAAGUCGAACGGAAAGGCCCUGCUUUUGUGGGGUGCUCGAGUGGCGAACGGGUGAGUAACACGUGAGUAACCUGCCCUUGACUUUGGGAUAACUUCAGGAAACUGGGGCUAAUACCGGAUAGGAGCUCCUGCUGCAUGGUGGGGGUUGGAAAGUUUCGGCGGUUGGGGAUGGACUCGCGGCUUAUCAGCUUGUUGGUGGGGUAGUGGCUUACCAAGGCUUUGACGGGUAGCCGGCCUGAGAGGGUGACCGGCCACAAUGGGACUGAGAUACGGCCCAGACUCCUACGGGAGGCAGCAGUGGGGAAUAUUGCACAAUGGGCGGAAGCCUGAUGCAGCAACGCCGCGUGCGGGAUGACGGCCUUCGGGUUGUAAACCGCUUUCGCCUGUGACGAAGCGUGAGUGACGGUAAUUGGUAAAGAAGCACCGGCUAACUACGUG